rnacentral:rRNA from 1 species
GGAUUAGAUACCCUGGUAGUCCACGCCGUAAACGAUGUCUACUAGCAGCUCGGUUCGUUUAGAACGGUUUUGCGCAGCUAACGCGUUAAGUAGACCGCCUGGGGAGUACGGCCGCAAGGUUAAAACUCAAAUGAAUUGACGGGGGCCCGCACAAGCGGUGGAGCAUGUGGUUUAAUUCGAUGCAACGCGAAGAACCUUACCAUCCCUUGACAUCCAGAGAACUUUCUAGAGAUAGAUUGGUGCCUUCGGGAGCUCUGAGACAGGUGCUGCAUGGCUGUCGUCAGCUCGUGCCG